UGUUUUUAAAUGGGAUGUGUGGAUUAUAAAAAGGAUCCAUCAUGCUGAGAGAGCAGAAGCCUCCUGAUGAAACAGGUUUAACUCCAGGAAGAGAAGUACGCAUGCGGUUGGUUAUGUUUUUGACCGAGACCACUGGGGAAAAUAGAGAGGAUGACAGCUGCUCUGAUAACACCAGGGCGGGACAGAUGUGAUUGCGAGGGUUGAGGAGGAUUCAUGGUGGCUGGAAUCCCUGG